CUGCUGUGAUGAGCUUCGAUGUGACUGAUCUGGUAUUGCUUCCCUCCGGGGAAAGCUCUGACCAGGGAAUGAUCGACAGUUCAAUCUUCUCUCUGAGCAG